GAUGAACGCUGGCGGCGUGCUUAACACAUGCAAGUCGAACGAUGAAGCCCAGCUUGCUGGGUGGAUUAGUGGCGAACGGGUGAGUAACACGUGAGUAACCUGCCCUUAACUCUGGGAUAAGCCUGGGAAACUGGGUCUAAUACCGGAUAGGAGCGUCCACCGCAUGGUGGGUGUUGGAAAGAUUUAUCGGUUUUGGAUGGACUCGCGGCCUAUCAGCUUGUUGGUGAGGUAAUGGCUCACCAAGGCGACGACGGGUAGCCGGCCUGAGAGGGUGACCGGCCACACUGGGACUGAGACACGGCCCAGACUCCUACGGGAGGCAGCAGUGGGGAAUAUUGCACAAUGGGCGCAAGCCUGAUGCAGCGACGCUGCGUGAGGGAUGACGGCCUUCGGGUUGUAAACCUCUUUCAGUAGGGAAGAAGCGAAAGUGACGGUACCUGCAGAAGAAGCACCGGCUAACUACGUG
rnacentral:rRNA from 1 species